GAGAUGUUAGUAAAAAAAUUACAUAGCCUUGUCAAGACUAAAUUGCAGGUUAAAAUCCAGCACAUCUCU
rnacentral:tRNA from 1 species